rnacentral:rRNA from 1 species
GACGAACGCUGGCGGCGUGCUUAACACAUGCAAGUCGAGCGAGAAAAUUCCCUUCGGGGAUGAUUCUAGCGGCGGACGGGUGAGUAACACGUGGGUAACCUGCCUUAUAGUGGGGAAUAGCCUUCCGAAAGGGAGAUUAAUACCGCAUAAGAUUGUAGCUUCGCAUGAAGUAGCAAUUAAAGGAGCAAUUCGCUAUAAGAUGGACCCGCGUCGCAUUAGCUAGUUGGUGAGGUAACGGCUCAACAAGGCGACGAUGCGUAGCCGACCUGAGAGGGUGAUCGGCCACAUUGGGACUGAGACACGGCCCAGAGUCCUACGGGAGGCAGCCGUGGGGAAUAUUGCACAAUGGGGGAAACCCUGAUGCAGCAACGCCGCGUGAGUGAUGAAGGUCUUCGGAUUGUAAAACUCUGUCUUUGGGGACGAUAAUGACGGUACCCAAGGAGGAAGCCACGGCUAACUACGUGCCAGCCGCCGCCGUAA